UUUCUUCACUGAUUUUCUUUAUUUUUCUUCUAGGUAAAUUAUACGGAAUGCCGAAACAAUUAUCUAUAGGGAUUCGAAAACGUAGAUCUUUCACAGAUUGCUCGUUGCCUUAAAAUGAACAAAAACAGGGAUCAGCUUGCUACCUAACAGACACUUACUCAAGGACACUGGAUUACACAUAUCAAAUGCGCACCUAUCCAGGACUCCCAAGUUUGGACAUGCAUCAUUUAUAUUGCCUUAGACGGACGGACAGACUCGUCGCUACCGAUCUACUGAUGUAAACACAGCCUAAUAAACCGUGACUUACGAAUCUUCCAAUCGGAAACAACCUCACCACCUUCCCAACCCCAUCCUACCCCCGUCAGGGCGGAUACCUUGCCCCAACAGCGCGACUUACGAUAAAUCUAAUGCCGUGACUAAGGUGUCCGACCCUACAGACGUAGGACAGCGUAAGGAGAAGCAAACAAAAAUAUGAAGUUGGACACCUGAUUUCUCAGGCCCCAUGUUGCGGGCGCCAUUUUUGUCCUGUCCUAUGGACCUUUAUCGUCUGGAGUAGGAACUAAUCUACUGACGGCGUUGGCUGGCUGACAGCUUGCUCCGGCAACAGCUCAGUCUUUGGGGCCGCAGUUCUUGUCAAUAGAUUAGACCUCGAUAAAGUGGACAAAAA